rnacentral:rRNA from 1 species
AGCCAGACUCCUACGGGAGGCAGCAGUGGGGGAUAUUGCACAAUGGGGGGAACCCUGAUGCAGCGACGCCGCGUGGGUGAAGGAGUAUUUCGGUAUGUAAAGCCCUAUCGGCAGGGAAGAAGGAGGACGGUACCUGACUAAGAAGCCCCGGCUAACUACGUGCCAGCAGCCGCGGUAAUACGUAGGGGGCAAGCGUUAUCCGGAUUUACUGGGUGUAAAGGGGGCGCAGACGGCAGCGCAAGCCAGGAGUGAAAGCCCGUGGCUUAACUACGGGACUGCUCUGGAAACUGUGCAGCUAGAGUGCAGGAGAGGUAAGUGGAAUUCCUAGUGUAGCGGUGAAAUGCGUAGAUAUUAGGAGGAACACCAGUGGCGAAGGCGGCUUACUGGACUGUAACUGACGUUGAGGCUCGAAAGCGUGGGGAGCAAACAGGAUUAGAUACCCUGGUA